GUUUUAAUAAUUUAAUAAAAAUAUUGAUCUUGUAAAUCAAAAUUAAGACUACGCUUUUAAAACU
rnacentral:tRNA from 1 species